rnacentral:rRNA from 1 species
GAUGAACGCUAGCUACAGGCUUAACACAUGCAAGUCGAGGGGAAACGACAUCGAAAGCUUGUCUUUUGAUGGGCGUCGACCGGCGCACGGGUGAGUAACGCGUAUCCAACCUGCCCAUCACUUGGGGAUAACCUUUCGAAAGAAAGAUUAAUACCUGAUGGUAUCUUAAGCACACAUGUAAUUAAGAUUAAAGAUUUAUCGGUGUACGAUGGGGAUGCGUUCCAUUAGGUAGUAGGCGGGGUAACGGCCCACCUAGCCAACGAUGGAUAGGGGUUCUGAGAGGAAGGUCCCCCACAUUGGAACUGAGACACGGUCCAAACUCCUACGGGAGGCAGCAGUGAGGAAUAUUGGUCAAUGGACGAGAGUCUGAACCAGCCAAGUAGCGUGAAGGAUGAAGGUCCUACGGAUUGUAAACUUCUUUUAUAAGGGAAUAAACCCUCCCACGUGUGGGAGCUUGUAUGUACCUUAUGAAUAAGCAUCGGCUAACUCCGUG